UACGAGGGGGGCAAGCGUUGUUCGGAAUUACUGGGCGUAAAGCGUGCGUAGGUGGUUUGUUAAGUCUGUUGUGAAAGCCCCGGGCUCAACCUGGGAAUGGCAAUGGAUACUGGCAGGCUAGAGUGCGGUAGAGGGUAGUGGAAUUCCCGGUGUAGCGGUGAAAUGCGUAGAGAUCGGGAGGAACACCAGUGGCGAAGGCGGCUACCUGGACCAGCACUGACACUGAGGCACGAAAGCGUGGGGAGCAAACGGG
rnacentral:rRNA from 1 species